GGGUUUCUAAUGUAUAUAAAGAGCAUAUCUUCUUUGCGAGAAGACAGAUUUAGAUCCA
rnacentral:tRNA from 1 species